CUUUAAUUUUCACUCUAUUCAUAAUCUUUACUUCAAAUAUUCAAACUUUCUGUUCCUUCUGCAAUAUUCCAACAUAUCAAAGAAUAUACUGUAAUUUGUUGUUAUAGAAAACACUAUAAAACUUAGUUGAUUAGCUAGCUUUAUAACCAUAAACUUAUAAGUUUAGGGACUUCUAGGAGAAGCGAUCUAUUGGCCUUCUAGGUUAGGAUCAUAAGAUAGUGG